UACAGAGGGUGCAAGCGUUAAUCGGAAUUACUGGGCGUAAAGCGUGCGUAGACGGUUAUUUAAGUCAGGUGUGAAAGCCCCGGGCUCAACCUGGGAAUUGCAUUCGAGACUGCAUUGCUGGAGUACGGAAGAGGAGGGCGGAAUUCCCGGUGUAGCGGUGAAAUGCGUAGAUAUCGGGAGGAACAUCAGUGGCGAAGGCGGCCCUCUGGUCCAGUACUGACACUCAAGUGCGAAAGCGUGGGGAGCAAACAGG
rnacentral:rRNA from 1 species